rnacentral:rRNA from 2 species
AAAUUGAAGAGUUUGAUCAUGGCUCAGAUUGAACGCUGGCGGCAGGCCUAACACAUGCAAGUCGAACGGUAGCACAGAGAGCUUGCUCUCGGGUGACGAGUGGCGGACGGGUGAGUAAUGUCUGGGAAACUGCCCGAUGGAGGGGGAUAACUACUGGAAACGGUAGCUAAUACCGCAUAACGUCGCAAGACCAAAGUGGGGGACCUUCGGGCCUCACACCAUCGGAUGUGCCCAGAUGGGAUUAGCUAGUAGGUGGGGUAACGGCUCACCUAGGCGACGAUCCCUAGCUGGUCUGAGAGGAUGACCAGCCACACUGGAACUGAGACACGGUCCAGACUCCUACGGGAGGCAGCAGUGGGGAAUAUUGCACAAUGGGCGCAAGCCUGAUGCAGCCAUGCCGCGUGUAUGAAGAAGGCCUUCGGGUUGUAAAGUACUUUCAGCGAGGAGGAAGGCGUUGUGGUUAAUAACCACAGCGAUUGACGUUACUCGCAGAAGAAGCACCGGCUAACUCCGUGCCAGCAGCCGCGGUAAUACGGAGGGUGCAAGCGUUAAUCGGAAUUACUGGGCGUAAAGCGCACGCAGGCGGUUUGUUAAGUCAGAUGUGAAAUCCCCGGGCUCAACCUGGGAACUGCAUUUGAAACUGGCAAGC